UUCCUACGGGGGGCAGCAGUGAGGAAUAUUGGUCAAUGGGCGAGAGCCUGAACCAGCCAAGUCGCGUGAAGGAUGACGGCCCUAUGGGUUGUAAACUUCUUUUGUCAGGGAGCAAUUGAGUCCACGUGUGGGCUUAGCGAGAGUACCUGAAGAAAAAGCAUCGGCUAACUCCGUGCCAGCAGCCGCGGUCAUACGUAGGAUCCGAGCAUUAUCCGGAGUGACUGGGUGUAAAGAGUUGCGUAGGUGGCAUAGUAAGUAGCUAGUGAAAUCUGGUGGCUCAA
rnacentral:rRNA from 1 species